UGGCGCACUCUACCACACACACGGUCACAUUCAUCCGGGCAAGCCAACGGAGUCGUGGAGGGCACUCGCUUAUCUUUUGCCACUUCUUCAACGUGCGGAGGCGCAUACAGACACAACACACACGUGCGUACAGCCGGCUCCCUCGAGGAUUUCAAUAUCACCACAUGAACGUGUCUCCGUGCCCACGCAUUGGCUGAAAGGCUUUGUUCGUCUGCGUGGUCUCUCGCGUUUUUUUUUUCGUUCCCUUCCUCCUCCUCCCCACCCCCGUCCCCUUGCUUUGAUCAGCUUGUCCUUCCCUCCUUUCAGUUAUUCUUCUACUGGUGGGUGUGCUUCAACGCAGGCACGCACGCCUGCCGCUGCCCCUGCUCCCCGAGCUCAGCAUCUUUCGGCGCAAAGUCUAGCUCUCUGAUUGGGGAAGGUGUGUCGCCCUCCCCCCUCCCCCGGCAGCCGCUAUCGCGGGCGCACUCGCACAUCACAGAGGAGGGGCUCCUGCAAGGAAAGAGCGUACUGGCCAGCGGGCGGGAUUUGUCUUCGCUUUGGGGCGGCCGCGCCGGCAAGGGGAACGCUGCCAUGCUGUGAGAAGUCAUCAAAACAGAUAACGCUGGCCAAGACAAGCGAACAAUAAAACGCACACGUAGGAGAGGCAUAUCGGCCUCUUACCACCUUUUGCUGCUGUACUCGAUCUCGCAUAUUUUCCCUUCUCGUUGCCUGCAUCUCUCACCUUCUCCCCCCUCCCCUCCAUCCCUCUGUCUCUCUUAGCGUCUCUCUCUCUUCCUGGGUGUCUUGACGGAGGGCAUUUUUUUCAUGUUUCGUGUGUUUUGGUGAGGUUGCUGUUGUGCGCUCUCUUCCUCUCCGACCCUUUUUGUUUCUGCUCGCUUCAGCUCUGCCCUUCGCUGUUGUCUGUCUUUCCUUUUUCGUUUUGUUGCUCUCUCUCUCUCUGUCUGUCUUGCUCCCUUUCUUCCUCUGGUGUACUUCUUCCAACCGUGUACAAACCACAACGAAUAGAGAAGGGCCGGAGAGACGAUACCGCCCGGAAACGCCUCCGCUUACUCGCUUGCCCAACGCUCGCACACAUCCAAGCCGAUAGCUGCACAGAGUGUGCACAAAACGCCGCACCAUUUUGAGAGAACAAACAGCAGAGCUUUUUUCGUCUCUUCGUUCUGGCGCUUCUCCACGGCAGCGAAAUCGACCACCUCUUCAAGUGCCGUUGGUGUUUGACCGCAGCAGGGAAAGUCAAUCAGAUAACUUACCUUGAUCUUUUCGUUCUUUCUUUUUACUCCCUCAAGGCGUCUUUCGUCGACCAACACCCCGCUGCCCCACGCUUCUGUGCACGCCUAUUGAUAGGCGUACAAAUAAACCAAAAAAAAAGAAGGGUAGCGUGGGGGUCCCGUACGCCUGCCAAACUGGUUGUGUUUUUGCGGAGCUGCCAUCCAUCAAGCUAUUGCCCUCUCCUCACUGCUUUCUUCGCAUCAUCGAAGCAACCAGUCGUAGGCGUGCUCGGGCUUCCUUCGAAGUCGGAACGCAGUCCGACCUACGCCAAAGAGAAAAAGAAGCAACCCCCCAAAACACAAUCAAACAACGACAGCAAACCGAAAUAAUAACGACAACGCCAAGCGAAGAGUCCGAACGACAGUGGUAAGGAACUGCGGGGACGCACCUGAUUUAUUGUUGCGCUUUUUUGUUUCUGCUGCCUUCGAGUGCGCACCUCGUCAUCGCGUGCCUUCUUUUUGCUUUCUUUCCCUGUCAUUAGCCGUCUUAUGCUUGCUCGCUUUUCUUCUUGGUGUCUCUACCCUCCCUCCCUCUCCGUGCCUCUAAGCGUUUCGCCGAGUCUUGUCUCUUUCUGUGUGCGCGUGCGUGUGGGCGACUGGCUUAUUCUCCAUUUUCCCUCUUGUUACCUCCGUUUUCUUUCUCGGUAUCUCUCCGUCUAUCUGAGGUAGCUUUACGGCUCGCCGCCGCCGGUUCCCUGACGGCUGCUGUGGUCUUUGUUUGGUUCGUGUGAGUGCAUGCACAUUGUGUGGCACCUUCCUCUUCUCCACUCUUCCCCUCUCUUGUCUUUUUUUUAUAUGUGCGGAGCUUUCUGUUAUCUUUUUUUUUUUGCUUGCUUGCUUGUUUGCUGAGGCUUAGAGUGAGCUGGCCAUUUGCACACAUCGUGCCUGCACGCACGGACGUCAUCUUGCUCUGCUUUUUCUUCGCUGCUCUUCUUUCUGUGAGGGCGUGCGCUCGUUGCCCACAUCUUUUUACUUGCACUCACUGCGGCCUUCUCGCUCUCUUGGGCAGGCGGAGGUACACUUUCGUUUCUGCCUGAGCGGGUCGGGCGCGUCGCGCGGUACACCACGCGCGUUGGAGUUUAACCGCGAAAAGCGCCUCCUUUGAUCGUGUCUCGGCAGCGAAGAGAGAGAGGGCGGGCGGGCGAGCGAGCGGUACGUCUGGAGCAGCAACACCAUCAUCGGCACGAGCAGCCCAGCAAAGGAACGCAGGGAUGGGUGCAGUGCCGAGUCGCGAAACCGUUGAACACUGGCUCUCUCAGCCACCCUUCUACGGCCAGCGCCAGCAGAUUGUUCUCAUUCCGCUCCUGAAGAAGUUCUUUCCGAGUCCAGACUGCUCCUUGUUCGUGCAGCUCUACGACGCACGAUGUGAUCCGGCGGUGCGGUACUACUACUACGCCAACGACGGCAUCAACAAGGUGCAAUCGACGCCAACCUCGCCGGUGUCUCCGACGGUGCACGCGGCACACGAGAGCGUCGGCAACGUUGCCUCGCCCACCUACCUGGCCGAGGUGAUCGGCAAUGCUCCCGUCUACUGCCCUCCCGCUGACGUGUUUCCAUCUGUGAACUUGACGCGGGAGGCCAUGUAUGAUGCUUACAUCACCAACGGCGGAGAGAGAAUGGUCUACGAGACGGAUGAGGAGAUGUUGCGGGCCUACCGUGCAGAUGCAACGUCGGUGCGGCCGCUGCCGUGCGCUGUGGCUUUCCUCUACCACCGACCGGCUUCGGCAGCAAGCCCCACCACUUCUACUGCUACGGGUGAUGCUGGCUUCGAGGGGAGCUCGGCGGCAGCCUCCAUUAACGGGACCGCUGCUGUCGGCGCCCAUAGCUUCCCUGAAGACUGCACCGAGGUGCUGGGCUGCUACGUGAAGGCGACAGGGUUCAUCGGCGACGUGCACGGGCUGGGUGCUUCGUGCCCGCGAAAGCUGCCGGACUGCGAGAUGCAGAUGUUUCUGACCAAGUCUGCCGGCGACCACCACCGCACGCACGUCCUUCUUACGGCGGUCUACACGUACGCGGAGCAGUGGCAGCGUGCGUGUUUGCACUGUGUGCCGUGCGACCUCACAGCGAGGGAGCUGGCGCCAGCGGUGACGAAAGGCGGCGGCACUGCCGACAAGGAUCUCGGCGACGUCUUCUUCUACUACAAGCCCUUCUCCCAGCCACAUCACAUGCUUGUGGAGGCGAGCCGCGUAGCUGGGCAUAAUUGCACGGCGAAGUCCGCAGCCGCCGAGAGAAACGGGAACAGGGGUGGCACCCUUAAGGUGGACGAAAAGGCUCGGUUUUGGGCUCCACCGCCGUUGCCGUCACUUGUGAUGCGUAGCCGCCGGACUAAUGUGCCGCUACUGUGCUUCCUGCGUGAGAUGCGCACGUGCGCGCGCUCGUUCUUUCUCUUCUACUUCAAGCACUACCUUGAGCACCAGGACUUACUGAAGCCGGGGUGUCGCGAAAAGGUCGGCGGUGCCGACGGCGGACAGGAUCGGCAGACCGAGAACAAUCAUCUCACCACUCCCCUCGACCACGGAGCUGGGGCGAACUGUUUCCUCGGCAUGCCUCCGCUUGGCAGCGUGCAAAUGUGGCUGCAGGGGGCGACGCGCGCGUCGGCGUCGCUUUCUGAAUUCGGUGACGAGGGCUCCAGCACGGAUACAGAAUCAAUGCUAAACUUUCACGUGAUGGCGCCGUACGUGCGUGCAUUGUCUGAGUUCAUUGUGGCCUGCCUGCUGCACAACAUCAACCCGCUAGAGGUCUCCCGGCUUUCGUCUGCGCCGGACGAUUCGGCGAUCGCGGCGGCCUCCACGGGCGAUGAUGCGAAGGACACCACCAUGAAAGGAGAGGCACCUGCAACUGAUGCGGUGGGCGGCAGCGCUUUUUUCACCUCCCCCACCGACGCGGCCAUGAUGGCCGCGAGCCCGACAUUCCCGCAGUCUUUCUCGUUCAUCCGCCUGCCGGACGAGGACAUGAUCGUACAACCUUGGCCACCCAGCAGCAGCGGGGGCGAGACAGGUGAUGAAGCAUCCGCCACCACCGCUGCUGCUUCUCCCUCAAGCGCCGGGCUGCUCUCGGCGUGGCGGUCUAGGCACACGAACCAUCAUCUGUUCUGGUCGGUGGGGCCGAGCAUCGUGAAUCGGCGCACCGCCACGGCGGCGUUGCUGCACUGGUACAAGACUGAAAAAGCUCCUGUGGUGUGGGGGUGCAACCUGGACGAGAAGGACUGCGAGAUGGUCGCUGGCGGCAAGGAGAGCGCUAGCGCCAGCGACGAUGUGUCAGCGGAGGCUUUUCCCUCUUCAUCCUUGGGGAGCUACAUGAGCACGGUGACAGUGAAUGGGCAGAAGGAGGAGCUGCUGCGCUGCAACACGGUGCUCAGCUUAAUGCGGUUAGAGGCCGGGAUGCCGGUAGAGGCACGCGUGCUGCGUGUGUGUCGCAUCCCGCUGGAGGAACUGCUUCUAGGUGAGCUGCGCGACUCCAGCAAGCUCGCUCGCGAGGCGGGGCCAGAGGACCCUCACUGGGUGCGGCAGGCGGAGAGCCCCAGCGGCGAUGGGGGCGCGACGAAGUACGUGGGCUGCGUGCUGCACGCAUCCGAUCCGGCUGAGGGGGUGUCCAGAACGGUGAUUGCGAACAAGGGCGUGGAGCUCCCGGUCGUGCCACCGGAGGCUGACGGGGUCAUCGGUGAUGGGACAUCGUGCCUGUGGCGGGUCAGCUUGAUUGAGCGCAUGUGCCGCAUCAUCGCCGUGACGCCGCAGUUCCUGAAGCCGAUCCGCAAGAAGCACCCCAAGAAGAAGUUGCAGUCGAAGGCGGUGAUCGUGCACGGCACGGCGUCGCACGUCUUUCUGAAAGUCGCCUCCCCCUCGCAAACCACCGCUUCGCCCACGUCAGUUUCGCCAACCGCGACAGAGCCCGCGCAGAAGGGUGCUGUGGAGCCGAAGGAGAACGAGGCGACGCCAGCGAGGGCCUCAGUGGUCACAUCACCAGACAGGCAGGAUGCGGUAGUGCUGAAGGAGGAAAGGCCCGGCGGCACUGUAGCCGUGCCGGCCCCUCUUGCGCCCGAUGCCGCCACUUCCACCGCCGCCACCACCGCAUACGCCUCAGCCGCAGCGACCACAAAGGCCAAAAAGAAGACGCAGAGGAUGGCGGACGUCGCCGCAGCGCCAGGCUCUGCCUUCACCCCUACUGUGACCGUGCCGAAGACUGCGGAUAAGGCGGCGCCCCCUGCAGCGGUCAGCGCCGCCAAUGCGGCUGUCACCACUGACACCGCUGCUGUUGUUACUCAGCUCAACUCUACGAAGGGAGCAAAGACGACUCCAGUGGAGAAGAACUCGAAGAGGGCAGGGGCGGCAACGAAGGGGUCAUCGGAGACUGUGACUCACACUGAUGCUGUAAUAGAAGACAAGCAGAGCAAGCCUUCAGCAUCGUUAACUCCCAUCGUGUCUGCCGCCACAAAAACAAAGACGACCAAGUCCACCGCUCGUGCUCCUGGCGCUUCAGCGACCGCGGAGAAGGCAAACGAGCUGAAGGCAGGCAACACCGCUUCCCGCAGUGGCGCCGCGAGAGCCGCCGAAACCUUCGCGAGAACAACUCCCACCGCGAAGCAUGCGACCAUCCCAACGGCAGAGAGGCAGAAAAAGAAGUCAUCACCGCCGCGACCCCUGCAGCCCCCGGUGCCGGCUGGCGAGUAUGACUCGAACAGAAAGAGCAACAAAGCCGCUCCGGGUGGCAAGUACCCGAACCCCUCCACCGCCAGCUCGUUUGGUGGCGCCAGCGCGACAGCUUGUGCACCGCCCCACCCGCCAGGGGGCAUCUACUACCCGGCCCCGCCGUCGUACGAAGCCAAGACGCUGCAGCAACUGCUGCGAGACCCCUACGAGCAGCACGGCUACGGCUACCAAGUACCGCCACCGCCUCUGCCUUUCGCAGAUCCGCACAGCAGCUCCAACGCCAUACCGAGCUGUGUGGGCUACUACUACAGCUCCGAUGGGUAUCAGCCGCACGCCGUCUACGGCGGCGGCUUCGUCAGCACCAACAGCCAUGCCGCUGCGUACUACAACACAGACAUGCGCAGCGGAGUAGCAGUCGCUGCUGAUGCCGGCAAACACAUGGGCGACGGCGGCUACGGCGAUUCACCAUAUGUGUACGCAGCGCAGCCACAGCAACUGCAGACGCUGCUCCCACCGGGCCAGCCGCCGCGGCACACGGGAACGACGAAGGAGAUUCGUGGGGAAGGCUUGUUCUCCCCCGUUGGAUCCUACUCGCUGCCCUCGAAGGAAGAGGGCAACAGCUGCGAGGCCGUCCCAACGGUGGCGCCCGGCAGCCGACAGGGAGCGGCGCCUUCCCUGCGGCAUCACGUGAGCUUUGAGGCGGGCGUGGCCCUGUCGAAGGAGGCCGUGGCAGACAAGGCGGCCCUCAGCUCUCCAAGGCGGGCAGCGACGCUUCUGCGCCCCGGAGCGCUGUGCAGUGGUUCGCCCACCACGAUGUCUCUCGCGUCCCCCAACGCACACUGCCCCAGCCACCACCACACAACCUCAAUGCCGCCACCGCUGCUGCUCCAGGGCUCCGACAUCGGCGAGUCGAUGUCGCACGACUUCGAGUACCACCACAACAAGUCUGUGAGCGGCACCGGCUCGCACCUGCACUUUCAACUGGAUGAACUCAACUCGCCCGUCACGAACGACAGCAGCAUUGUGAUGUCGAACGGGCAUCACUGGCACCACACCAGACACGCAAGUAGCCCCUACCAGACCAGCACCACAAUAAUGGAGGACGCCGGGGUGCCGUGCGGCCAGGGUUGUGGUUCUGUAGGCGGAUCGGUGAAUGUGACGGUGCGGGUACGCCAUCACCAUAGUCGCACGCACUCCCACGCCGCCAGCUACUUCAGCGAUGCCACCCUGGACUCUGCAAGUACGCACCAUCACCACCACCACCACGACACGGUGCAUCACAUGAACUGCAGCACCUCCGUGGCGAGCGGUGGCGGUGUGGGGGCCGGGGCUGCCAGCCUGAACGGAACGCAGACGUCGCACAGCUGUGCGAGUUUGGAGCACUCGUCGAAUGCGUUCCACAGGCUAUCCGGCGCCGGGUGUGGCUCUCCUCAUGAGCACAUCAUCGCUACGGAGGGCGAUCACCACCACCACGCCUCAUCCCCUCGCCAACACUACGAGCACCAGCCCCGCCACCAUGCGCCUGGGGCGACGGCGAGCAGCACGCGAAGCGGUGACACGGCGAGCGCAGCGCGGAUGACGGACAAGCGUACGGGAACGUACCGGUGGGACUGGCGCACGGCAUCUCUAGACAUGGGAUACGAAGACUGAGCGGGGCGUCUGUGAUGUGCGCGUUGCCUUCUUCCCUUUUCCUCCCGCUUUGCUUUCGCCACAUGGCGUCGUCUCCUCCACGAAUUCAUCAUGAUGGCGUUUCUGUGCUAGCGAGUGAGCCGGCGAAGUCGUUCGCAGAGCCAUUGAGCAGGAGAGGUGACUGCGGCGCGUCUGACGCGGCUCUUUCUGUUUUGUGUGCGGGGUGGCGGGCUGAAAGGGGAGGGGCGCGUAUUCGUCUGUCCGUUUUAUUUUCGUAUGCUCUCUCUCCAUCUCUCCGUCCCUCCGUCCGCCUCUGCUUUCUCUUCUCGUCGUCGCUGCAGUCCUUGACCGUGUAGUGAAUGGAGGAAGGGAGACGCAUCCCUCCCUCCCUCUCUGCCCUCUCCAGCUGUCACUGCGGUUGUCUUGUCCAAGUCUCGUGGAGGAGCUGUGCUUCUUUUUCGCUCGUAGAGAGGUGCUGCUGCGUGUGAAGGUCAUGGAGGGAGCCAGAGGGCGAGGGGAGAGGGGGCAAUCCAUUUCUCUCCCCUUCACUUAUGACGACGUUCGUUUGUGGGUGCUUUCACUGCCACGUGUCUUUUCGUGGUGGUGUCUGUGCAACGGCGGCCCCCUUUAGCGCUACAUGCUGUUGUUGUGCUUGCGCGCUCAGUAUGACGUACUGCCUCUCUUGCAGCCGCUCUGCUCUGCUCUCCUUACUCUUUUUGCGAAGGCCUCCGCACCUCUUCUCUUUAUCGGCCUCUUCCUUUCUUUUUUUUUUUCGAGUCGCGCUUCGCCGUCGUCGUCGUCGAUGCUGUCGUCACCGUUACCGUUGCCCUCUGCACCUUUCUCUCUCCUCCUCUUACGGCCUUUACGUCUCUCUCUGUCUGCUUACCUUCCUCUCUCUGCGUUUUUAUUUUCUUCUCUGUUGUUUUUCUGUGCUACUUUUUUCCCUAUUACCCUGAG
rnacentral:misc_RNA from 1 species